CUGUAUUCUUCUUCUUCAAUUUUUUUCUUUUUCAUUUUCUUCCCUCCUUUAGUUUGUCAAAAAUCCAAAUAAUUUUUCAUAUAAUUCUUUUUUCUUUUCUGAAUUUCUUCCUACUUAUAUGAAUAAUAUAAUAUGCAUCUAGGAUUUUGUUUUAUAUAGUAUGGAGUAAAAUGAGUUUAAUUUUACGCUUGAACAAUAUGAACAGUGAAGAUUGAUAUAGUUUAGUCGUGAUUCAUAUAUUGUUACAGUUGAUGUUAAUUGUUUUAUGUUUUUGAUUAUCUUCUCCCGUUGAGUACUUGUCGAUUCAUUAAAUGACCGAUUCAUGUUCUUGUGUUUAAGUUUUUUUAGAUAUUAUAAGUUAGAUUUCUGUUUAUUAUAAACAUCGAUUUUUAUCUAAGGUUCUUCAAACACCUGAAUAAUACUUGGAUUUUUAUUCUCAUAUAUUUCAAAUUUAUAGCAAAUUGAUUUUUUCUUAGCUCUUAGUACUAGAUUUGUUUUAUUGGAUUAAUUAUUUCUCUCUUCAAUUAUAUUUCAAUAUUAAUUCCACCUAAUUAUUCACAUCAUUUAAAGGAUAUGUCCCCAAAUGUGUAGAUUUCUCAUUUAGAGAAUACAAACAUUUUUUUGUCCUUUUUGUCUGCUUGAUUUUUUUUAGUUUGAUUUUUAUUUUGAUGUUAGGUAUACGUAUCGAUUUUUUAAGUUUAUUACUUUAUUUUUCUUACCUCAUUUUUUAUUUAUUUUCUUUGAGCUAUAUUAAUUAUGAAAAAUUCUAGGUCUAAAUAUGAUAGAGGUAGAAUUUCCCACAUAGAAUAUCAUCCAAUUUCAGGGACCAGAGCUACGUGUUUUGAAUGAGUUCAAUUGAAUCCUCUUCGUUUUAUUGUAGCGAAUUUGAUUUGUUUGAAUAUCAAGUGUAACGUUUUUGCAUUCUUUUCAUGAUUUCUUUGUUAUAAUUUCUUACUCAACUUCUGAGAAGGAAUUUUGUCCCAAUCUUAUGGAGGAUGAUGGAUUAAACGUAUGUAUGAUUGAUGACAUACUUUAACACGUACAAAUUCAAAAUUUAAAGUCAGUGAAUUUUCUGACUAUGUUAUCGAAUUUAAUUUUGAUAUUGUAGCUUUGCCUCAACAUACAGUUGUUGCUUGCUAGUGCAGCACCAUCAAGAUUCACAUAGAAAAUAUGGACUAUGAAAUGAAAUAUGCCCAAUUUUUGAAUACAUGAGAAUCUUGAUGAUGCUGCAUUGGCAAAUUGAUGACUUGAUUCUUUAAUUCUACAAGAAAAUUUGGGCAAUUUAUCUUUAUUUGGUAAGUUUUCUUUUGGACUAUGAUUAAUUCUAUAUGAUUAUUGAUUAUUAAUUACUUAUUUUGGUUAAUAUGUUGUAGUUUUCUUGAUAUAAAAUACCUCAUGAAUUAAUUAUUAAGUUCUUAAAUUAUGUUUCUUCACCUUGCGAUUUCUUCUAAAAAUUUGUGUGAUAUUUAAAGAUGCAUAACUAAUUUUCUUGAUAAUCCUAACAAUGCAAUUUCAAAUAAAUAUAGGUCUUUGAAGCAGAAGGUGGAGAAUUCGUGGCUAAAAUAUAGCUAUAGAGAGCAGCACAUAGUAGAAUAGUUGCUUGCAAAAGGAAGGAGUUAGGAAGAAGUUUUUUAUGUAUAUUUUCUUGUUAAUAUGUAUUUUUUUUUUUGUGAAAUCAAUUAUAAUACAUAAAUUAAGAAUUACUUUUGUUAAAACAAUUUAAUCUAGAUUAAUAUGCUGAAGCACUUUAAAUUGAUCCCUCCAUUAAUUAUUGA
rnacentral:lncRNA from 1 species